CCAGCACCCCGAGUGGUCGGGACGAUUAUUGGGCCUAAAGCAUCCGUAGCCGGUCCUGCAAGUCUUCCGUUAAAUCCAGCUGCUCAACAGAUGGGCUGCGGAGGAUACUACAGGGCUAGGAGGCGGGAGAGGCAAGCGGUACUUUAUGGGUAGGGGUAAAAUCCGUUGAUCCAUAGAAGACCACCAGUGGCGAAGGCGGCUUGCCAGAACGCGCUCGACGGUGAGGGAUGAAAGCUGGGGGAGCAAACCGGAUUAGAUACCCGGGUAGUCCCAGCUGUAAACGAUGCAGACUCGGUGAUGGGUUGGCUUCGUGCCAACCCAGUGCCGCAGGGAAGCCGUUAAGUCUGCCGCCUGGGGAGUACGGUCGCAAGACUG
rnacentral:rRNA from 1 species